rnacentral:rRNA from 1 species
GAAGUACAGCGCGCGCAGGUUGUCUAUUAAGUUUGAUGAGACAGCCGCUCGCUCCAGCGGGGGAGCGUCAUUGAAAGCUGGGGAACUUGAGUGCAGAAGAGGAGAGUGGAAUUCCACGAGUAGCGGUGAAAUGCGUAGAGAUGUGGAGGAACAUCAGUGGCGAAGGCGACUCUCUGGUCUGUAACUGACGCUGAGGCGCGAAAGCGUGGGGAGCGAACAGGAUUAGAUACCCUGGUAGUCCACGCCGUAAACGAUGAGUGCUAAGUGUUAGAGGGUUUCCGCCCUUUAGUGCUGCAGCAAACGCAUUAAGCACUCCGCCUGGGGAGUACGGUCGCAAGACUGAAACUCAAAGGAAUUGUCGGGGGCCCGCACAAGCGGUGGAGCAUGUGGUUUCAAUUGGAAGCAGCGUGAAGUCCCUUAUCAGGUCUUGACAUCCUCUGACAACCCUAGAGAUAGGGCUUCCCCUUCGGGGGCAGAGUGACAGGUGGUGCAUGGUUGUCGUCAGCUCGUGUCGUGAGAUGUUGGGUUAAGUCCCGCAACGAGCGCAACCCUUGAUCUUAGUUGCCAGCAUUCAGUUGGGCACUCUAAGGUGACUGCCGGUGACAAACCGGAGGAAGGUGGGGAUGACGUCAAAUCAUCAUGCCCCUUAUGACCUGGGCUACACACGUGCUACAAUGGGCAGAACAAAGGGCAGCGAAGCCGCGAGGCUAAGCCAAUCCCACAAAUCUGUUCUCAGUUCGGAUCGCAGUCUGCAACUCGACUGCGUGAAGCUGGAAUCGCUAGUAAUCGCGGAUCAGCAUGCCGCGGUGAAUACGUUCCCGGGCCUUGUACACACCGCCCGUCACACCACGAGAGUUUGUAACACCCGAAGUCGGUGAGGUAACCUUUUGGAAGCCAGCC